GUCCACGCCGUAAACGAUGUCUACUAGCCGUUGGGUUCCUUGAGGACUUAGUGGCGCAGCUAACGCAAUAAGUAGACCGCCUGGGGAGUACGGUCGCAAGAUUAAAACUCAAAUGAAUUGACGGGGGCCCGCACAAGCGGUGGAGCAUGUGGUUUAAUUCGACGCAACGCGAAGAACCUUACCAGGUCUUGACAUAUACAGGAAUAUGGCAGAGAUGUCAUAGCCGCAAGGUCUGUAUACAGGUGGUGCAUGGUUGUCGU
rnacentral:rRNA from 1 species